CCCUUAGAUGUUCUGGGCAGCACGCGCGCUACAAUGGUCUUCGCAAACGGAUGCAUUCUCGAAGGAGAAUGCCAAUCUUGGAAUCUAUGCCUUGGUCGGGACAGUUGCUUGCAAUUUUUCGACUCGAACUAGGAAUUCCUUGUAAUCGUGAUUCAUCACAUCACGAUGAAUACGUCCCUGCCCUUUGUACACACCGCCCGUCGCUCCUACCGAUCGAAGAGUUAGGUGAAUUAUUUUGAUCGAUAAGAUUUGACUAUGGUCAACUCUCGUUGUGAAAUUCUGUGAAUCUGACUGUUUAGAGGAAGGAAAAGUCGUAACA
rnacentral:rRNA from 1 species